rnacentral:rRNA from 1 species
AUCGAACGCUGGCGGCAGGCCUAACACAUGCAAGUCGAACGAGUGGCGGAGGGGUGGACAAUGUCUGGGCAACUGCGUGAUGGAGGGGUAUAAAUACUGGAAACGGUAGCUAAUACCGCAUACCAUCAGAUGUGCCCAGAUGGGAUUAGCUAGUUGGUGGGGUAACGGCUCACCAAGGCGACGAUGCCUAGCUGGUCUGAGAGGAUGACCAGCCACACUGGAACUGAGACACGGUCCAGACUCCUACGGGAGGCAGCAGUGGGGAAUAUUGCACAAUGGGCGCAAGUCUGAUGCUGCCAUGCCGCGUGAGUGAAGAAGGCCUUCGGGUUGUAAAGUACUUUCGGCGGGGAGGCGUUACCCGCCGAAGAAGCACCGGCUAACUCCGUGCCAGCAGCCGCGGUAAUAC